UGGUGGGUAGUUUGACUGGGGCGGUCUCCUCCUAAAGAGUAACGGAGGAGCACGAAGGUUGGCUAAUCCUGGUCGGACAUCAGGAGGUUAGUGCAAUGGCAUAAGCCAGCUUGACUGCGAGCGUGACGGCGCGAGCAGGUGCGAAAGCAGGUCAUAGUGAUCCGGUGGUUCUGAAUGGAAGGGCCAUCGCUCAACGGAUAAAAGGUACUCCGGGGAUAACAGGCUGAUACCGCCCAAGAGUUCAUAUCGACGGCGGUGUUUGGCACCUCGAUGUCGGCUCAUCACAUCCUGGGGCUGAAGUAGGUCCCAAGGGUAUGGCUGUUCGCCAUUUAAAGUGGUACGCGAGCUGGGUUUAGAACGUCGUGAGACAGUUCGGUCCCUAUCUGCCGUGGGCGCUGGAGAACUGAGGGGGGCUGCUCCUAGUACGAGAGGACCGGAGUGGACGCAUCACUGGUGUUCGGGUUGUCAUGCCAAUGGCACUGCCCGGUAGCUAAAUGCGGAAGAGAUAAGUGCUGAAAGCAUCUAAGCACGAAACUUGCCCCGAGAUGAGUUCUCCCUGAGACUUUAGGUCUCCUGAAGGAACGUUGAAGACGACGACGUUGAUAGGCCGGGUGUGUAAGCGCAGCGAUGCGUUGAGCUAACCGGUACUAAUGAACCGUGAGGCUUAACCUUAC
rnacentral:rRNA from 2 species